UACUCCUACGGGAGGCAGCAGUGGGGAAUAUUGGACAAUGGGCGAAAGCCUGAUCCAGCCAUGCCGCGUGUGUGAAGAAGGUCUUCGGAUUGUAAAGCACUUUAAGUUGGGAGGAAGGGCAUUAACCUAAUACGUUAGUGUCUUGACGUUACCGACAGAAUAAGCACCGGCUAACUCUGUGCCAGCAGCCGCGGUAAUAA
rnacentral:rRNA from 1 species